AAGUCGUAACAAGGUAACCGUAGGUGAACCUGCGGUUGGAUCAUUAUUGAAAUAAUGAGUGCUCAGUGCCCUUUUCACGAAGGGUGGCUAGCACGAUGGCUUCGGCCAUUAACCCCUGUGAGACUGUUUAUUGACUUUGGGUCGUUAUUGCCCGUCUCCCUUUACUGUGGGGGUAUGACAUGGCGGCCCAAUAAAUCUAUUAAACCUGAUAUUCUAAGUCUUAUCUUGUUUAUAAAAGAAACAACUUUUGACAACGGAUCUCUAGGCUCUC
rnacentral:misc_RNA from 1 species